GAUGAACGCUGGCGGCGUGCUUAAUACAUGCAAGUCGAACGGAGACUGUAGCAAUACUGUCUUAGUGGCGAACGGGUGAGUAACGCGUUGGUGACCUGCCCCGAAGGAGGGGAUAACAGUCCGAAAGGAUUGCUAAUACCCCAUGUGGUCGUUUGGAUUAGAUGCCUUACGACUAAACGGAUUUAUUCGCUUCGGGAGGGGCCUGCGUCCCAUCAGCUAGUUGGUAGGGUAAUAGCCUACCAAGGCGAUGACGGGUAGGGACCUGAGAGGGUCGGCCCCCCACAAUGGAACUGAAACACGGUCCAUACACCUACGGGUGGCAGCAGUAGGGAAUAUUGGUAAUCUGGGAAACCCGGGAACCAGCAACGCCGCGUGCGCGAUGAAGGCCUUCGGGUUGUAAAGCGCUUUUAAAGGGAUGAGGAAGGACAGUACCUUUAGAAUAAGCCUCGGCUAACUACGUGCCAGCAGCCGCGGUAAAAUCUACGUACGUACGUUACGAGGACGGGCCGGUCGUGGACGAACGGGCGACUAAGUAG
rnacentral:rRNA from 1 species